UACGGAGGGUGCAAGCGUUAAUCGGAAUUACUGGGCGUAAAGCGCGCGUAGGCGGCGUGAUCAGCCGGUUGUGAAAGCCCCGGGCUCAACCUGGGAACGGCAUCCGGAACUGUCACGCUAGAGUGCAGGAGAGGAAGGUAGAAUUCCCGGUGUAGCGGUGAAAUGCGUAGAGAUCGGGAGGAAUACCAGUGGCGAAGGCGGCCUUCUGGACUGACACUGACGCUGAGGUGCGAAAGCAUGGGUAGCAAACAGG
rnacentral:rRNA from 1 species